GGUGCAUGGCGGCUCUAGGACAUCCUGCUCGGGAGGCACCGCCGGCCCCAGGCCCAGGGCAACCCACGUGCAGUGACGCCGCCUGCAGAGCGCACCCCGUAGGCGAUGACACAUCCUUGAAGAAGCAAAAGAAUAAGAAGAAAACCCGGAACAGGGCCUCUGUGGCGAAUGGAGGCGAGAAGUCCUCAGAAAACCUCGCCCCAGAGGAAGCCCCCUUGAGCGCUGAGGCCCAGGCAAAACAGCUGGCCCAGGAAUUGGUCUGGUGCGUGGAGCAGCUAGAGCUGGGCCUCAAGACACAGAAACCCACCCCGAAACAGAAAGAGCAGGCUAUUGGAGCGAUCCGAACUCUGCGCAGCAAAAGAACCCCCCUGCCCCGGAAGAGGCAGCUGAUGCGCUCCAUGUUUGGGGACUACAGGGCUCAGAUGGAAGCUGAGUGGCAUGAGGCUCUGCGGGCUCUCAGGGCUGCUGCCCAUUCAGCCCAGGUACAGCCUGUAGAUGAGACCACCAGAAAGAAGAGCCGAAGGGUCUGCAGGCCUCGCCCUGUAGGGAGAGCCAAGGCCACUGUGGACACUCCUGAUGAAGAGUUCAGGUUCAAUUUCUUUUAGCCUCUCUCCAAUCCUGCCCCUCCCCAGGGGUACUGUGGGGUUUGUCCUGAGUGCAGAAUUUUCCCAGGAAUUCUCUGUUGACACAUGUGAGGUUGGUCUGUCCCUGGCUGGUCCAAGGAUCUGGGCCUGUUGGUCAGGUAUGGGACCUUCCAAUAGGCACAGGACCCCAUUUGUAGGUUUUCUGAUGAAAUGCUCCUCCUGCCAGAAGAGAGACAGAGGUACCUUUAGAAAAUCUUCUACACUAAAUUGAAAUGCAUGUUCAGUGUGUUAUAGAAAGGAUAUUGUACUCAGUCUUUAGGUUGGUAGCAAGGAUUAGUGGGGAAACUAUGUAA